rnacentral:misc_RNA from 1 species
CAGGACUCGCAAGACUCCCGUAAACCACUGUGAACUUACCUACAACCCGUUGCCUCGGCGGGUGCUCCGGGUGCGUCUUCGGGCGCUCCGGGGCGCUCCAGCCCGCCGGCGGCCCCUAAACUCUGUCUCUGUAACGUUGGCAUCUCCGAGCAGACUAUAAACGAGUCA